GAUAAUAAAAGUGUAGUAUUCUUUGGUUCAUCUAGACAAGAAAGGAAGCCUAUAAUUCUAUUGGGAACAUUUUUCUAUAGCUGAUCGACUGACAUUUGACAAUUUCUUUUUGACAAGUGGCUGACAUGACAUCUGACAAAUUCUUACUUGGUAUGAAAUAAUUUACACAGUAAAGUUCUUUAAUUUGUACCAUGCUUUAGUCAGUUGAUGCCAUCAAUUUAUAACAGGGAGUUAGAAAAUAGAAAUGAUAUCUAGGGUCCAAAACUUCAAAUAGUUAAAAUUUGCAAUACUAGGAG
rnacentral:misc_RNA from 1 species